rnacentral:rRNA from 1 species
GAUGAACGCUGGCGGCGUGCUUAACACAUGCAAGUCGAACGGAAAGGCCAGUGCUUGCACUGGUGCUCGAGUGGCGAACGGGUGAGUAACACGUGGGUGAUCUGCCCUGCACUUUGGGAUAAGCCUGGGAAACUGGGUCUAAUACCAGAUAGGACCAUGCUUUGGAUGGUGUGGUGGAAAGUUUUUUCGGUGUGGGAUGAGCUUGCGGCCUAUCAGCUUGUUGGUGGGGUAAUGGCCUACCAAGGCGUCGACGGGUAGCCGGCCUGAGAGGGUGUACGGCCACAGUGGGACUGAGAUACGGCCCAGACUCCUACGGGAGGCAGCAGUGGGGAAUAUUGCACAAUGGGCGCAAGCCUGAUGCAGCGACGCCGCGGGGGGGAUGACGGCCUUCGGGUUGUAAACUCCUUUCGCAACUGACGAAGCUUUUUGUGACGGUAGGUUGAGAAGAAGCACCGGCUAACUACGUG